rnacentral:rRNA from 1 species
UACGUAGGGCGCAAGCGUUGUCCGGAAUUAUUGGGCGUAAAGAGCUCGUAGGCGGUCUGUCGCGUCGGAUGUGAAAACCCAGGGCUCAACCCUGGGCCUGCAUUCGAUACGGGCAGACUAGAGUGUGGCAGGGGAGACUGGAAUUCCUGGUGUAGCGGUGAAAUGCGCAGAUAUCAGGAGGAACACCGGUGGCGAAGGCGGGUCUCUGGGCAGUAACUGACGCUGAGGAGCGAAAGCGUGGGGAGCGAACAGG